rnacentral:piRNA from 1 species
UGACAACAAAAAAAAACCAAU